rnacentral:rRNA from 1 species
GGUGAGUAACGCGUGGGUAAUCUGCCCUCGAAUCCGGGAUAACAUUGCGAAAGCGAUGCUAAUACCGGACGAAGUUGUCGAGCUUUGGUUCGGUGAUGAAAGGUGGCCUCUACAAGUAAGCUACUGUUCGGGGAUGAGCCCGCGUACCAUUAGCUAGUCGGUAGGGUAACGGCCUACCGAGGCGACGAUGGUUAGCUGGUCUGAGAGGAUGAUCAGCCACACUGGAACUGACACACGGUCCAGACUCCUACGGGAGGCAGCAGUGAGGAAUUUUGCGCAAUGGGGGUAACCCUGACGCAGCAACGCCGCGUGAGUGAUGAAGGCCUUCGGGUCGUAAAGCUCUGUCAAUGGGGAAGAACCUGUGACAUGCCAACAGCAUGUUGCACUGACGGUACCCAUAAAGGAAGCACCGGCUAACUCCGUGCCAGCAGCCGCGGUAACACGGAGGGUGCGAGCGUUAUUCGGAAUUAUUGGGCGUAAAGCGCGCGCAGGCGGUUUACUAAGUCAGAUGUGAAAGCCCGGGGCUCAACCCCGGAAGAGCAUUUGAUACUGGUAGGCUUGAGUAUGGGAGAGGGAAGUGGAAUUCCUGGUGUAGAGGUGAAGUUCGUAGAGAUCAGGAGGAACACCGGUGGCGAAGGCGACUUCCUGGACCAAUACUGACGCUGAGGCGCGAAGGCGUGGGGAGCAAACAGGAUUAGAUACCCUGGUAGUCCACGCAGUAAACGGUGAUCACUAGGUGUAGCGGGUAUUGACUCGUGCUGUGCCGGAGUUAUCGCAUUAAGUGAUCCGCCUGGGGAGUACGGCCGCAAGGUUAAUACUCAAAGGAAUUGACGGGGGCCCGCACAAGCGGUGGAGCAUGUGGUUUAUUUUGACGCAACGCGAAGAACCUUACCGGGGUUUGACAUCCUGGGAAUCCUUUUGAUAAANAGGGAUUGUCCUUCGGGGAGCCUCGGUGACAGGUGCUGCAUGGCGGUUGUCAGCUAGUGUCGUGAGAUGUUGGGUUAAGUCCCGCACCGAGCGCAUCUCCUAUCUUUAGUAGCCAUCAUUUAAUGUUGGGGACUCUAGAGAUACUGCCCCGGUCAACGGGGUGGAAGGUGGGGAUGACGUCAAGUCCUCAUGGCCUUUAUAUCCAGGGCUACACACCUGCUACAAUGGGCUGUAUCAAAGGGAAGCGAUCUCGUGAGUGUGAGCCAAUCCCAAAAAGCAGUUCGUAGUUCGGAUUG